AACGUAGGUGGCAAGCGUUAUCCGGAUUCAUUGGGCGUAAAGCGCGUGCAGGUGGCUUUGUAAGUUGGACGUUAAAUCUCCCAGCCUAACUGGGAGUGGUCGUUCAAUACUGCGAGGCUUGAGGGCAGAAGAGGGGGGUGGAAUUGCUGGUGUAGUGGUGAAAUGCGUAGAUAUCAGCAGGAACACCUGUGGCGAAAGCGGCCCCCUGGUUUGCUCCUGACACUCAGACGCGAAAGCUAGGGGAGUGAACGGG
rnacentral:rRNA from 1 species